GACGAACGCUGGCGGCGUGCUUAACACAUGCAAGUCGAACGGAAAGGCCCUGCUUUUGUGGGGUGCUCGAGUGGCGAACGGGUGAGUAACACGUGAGUAACCUGCCCUUGACUUUGGGAUAACUUCAGGAAACUGGGGCUAAUACCGGAUAGGAGCUCCUGCUGCAUGGUGGGGGUUGGAAAGUUUCGGCGGUUGGGGAUGGACUCGCGGCUUAUCAGCUUGUUGGUGGGGUAGUGGCUUACCAAGGCUUUGACGGGUAGCCGGCCUGAGAGGGUGACCGGCCACAUUGGGACUGAGAGACGGCCCAGACUCCUACGGGAGGCAGCAGGGGGGAAUAUUGCACAAUGGGCGGAAGCCUGAUGCAGCAACGCCGCGUGCGGGAUGACGGCCUUCGGGUUGUAAACCGCUUUCGCCUGUGACGAAGCGUGAGUGACGGUAAUGGGUAAAGAAGCACCGGCUAACUACGUG
rnacentral:rRNA from 1 species